AAUGAAUUUCUACAGUGUGGCUAACUCUAACACUGUUUGUCGAAUGGUCAUUGUCAAAUAUUGUGAUGAUUCCCAUUUCAGUUCAAGAAUAAUACAUGCAACAUGAUGUUAAUGUUGUAAUGACAUUAAUGUUCCUGUAUGAUGUGAACGUGUUGUUACUGUUUGAAUGUACUCAGUGAAUUUGAGAUUGAUUUAAACAGGGACAUGUAUAACAAUAAUGUUCAAUUAUCAUUUGUAU
rnacentral:rRNA from 1 species